rnacentral:rRNA from 1 species
AUGAGUUAAGUAUAAACCCCUUUACAAGUAUCAAUUGGAGGGCAAGUCUGGUGCCAGCAGCCGCGGUAAUUCCAGCUCCAAUAGCGUAUAUUAAAGUUGUUGCAGUUAAAAAGCUCGUAGUUGGAUUUCUGUUAAUAAUUUAUAUUAAAUAUUUUAAAGAUAUUGAUAUAAUAUUAACAUAAUUCAUAUCAUUAUAUAUUUAUAAUGUAUGAAAUUUUACUUUGAGAAAAUUAGAGUGCUUAAAGCAGGUAUAUUGCCUUGAAUACUUCAGCAUGGAAUAAUAAUAAGAGAUUUUUAUCUUUCUUUUUUAUUGGUUCUAAGAUAGAAAUAAUGAUUAAUAGGGACAGUUGGGGGCAUUUGUAUUUAACAGUUAGAGGUGAAAUUCUUAGAUUUGUUAAAGACAAACUAAUGCGAAAGCAUUUGCCAAGGAUGUUUUCAUUAAUCAAGAACGAAAGUUAGGGGAUCGAAGACGAUCAGAUACCGUCGUAGU